rnacentral:rRNA from 1 species
AUUGAACGCUGGCGGCAUGCCUUACACAUGCAAGUCGAACGGUAACAGGUCUUCGGAUGCUGACGAGUGGCGAACGGGUGAGUAAUGCAUCGGAACGUGCCCAGUUGUGGGGGAUAACUGCUCGAAAGAGCAGCUAAUACCGCAUACGACCUGAGGGUGAAAGCGGGGGAUCGCAAGACCUCGCGCAAUUGGAGCGGCCGAUGGCAGAUUAGGUAGUUGGUGGGGUAAAGGCCUACCAAGCCGACGAUCUGUAGUUGGUCUGAGAGGACGACCAGCCACACUGGGACUGAGACACGGCCCAGACUCCUACGGGAGGCAGCAGUGGGGAAUUUUGGACAAUGGGCGCAAGCCUGAUCCAGCAAUGCCGCGUGCAGGAAGAAGGCCUUCGGGUUGUAAACUGCUUUUGUCAGGGAAGAAAUCCUCUGGGUUAAUACCCCGGGGGGAUGACGGUACCUGAAGAAUAAGCACCGGCUAACUACGUGCCAGCAGCCGCGGUAACAC